rnacentral:rRNA from 1 species
CGGGGUGGAGUAACGCGUGGGUAACCGUGCCUCAUACAGGGGGAUAACGAUUGAAACGAUUGCUAAUACCGCAUAAGCGCACAGUACCACAUGGUACAGUGUGAAAAACUCCGGUGGUAUGAGAUGGACCCGCGUCUGAUUAGCUAGUUGGUGAGGUAACGGCCCACCAAGGCAACGAUCAGUAGCCGACCUGAGAGGGUGACCGGCCACAUUGGGACUGAGACACGGCCCAG